CUACUCUGUUUCCUCUCUCCAGCCCUGAUGUCAGAUUGUUUCCCUCCAAGUACUGGUCUGAGGAUCCCCUACGGGCAGAUCUUUACAGUGAUUGCUUUUUUCCUGAUUGCUGCUGCUGUUUUCAGGUUUGUGAAGGAAGUGGCUAUGUUAGACUAGCAAUUGCAGAGCUGGACUGGUGACCACUGUAGAUGUAGAGCCCCCACAUGAUGCAAGUUCCUCCUUAGAAGCCCCCUGAGGUGGUUCUGCACACCCUGCUCUGGGUGACCCUGCUGGAGCAGUGUGACAAGCUGCUCUACACUCCAUGUGUGAUCAAGGAACUCUGCAGGAAGCAGGCAACUCUGGAAAGAGAGUCGUUCCCCUGUCUCCAUGAGAACUCCCCUUUCUGUGUAAUUUGUCAUUUGAAGAAGUAAUUCAGGUUCACCCUGCUAAGAACGAUGCGUGCCCUUCUGCCUGAGACAAGAGCAGGCAGUUUCUGUCUGUCAGAGCAGUAGGCAUCCCCAUGCUGCAUGGCUCCAGCAGCUGAGGCCAGCAGCAGCAGCAGGGCAAUGCGAAGAACUCAAGCUGCUGCAUCAGUUUAACGCGUUGCUGUCUGCAAGGCUUGAUGCGGGGCAGCGAGGAGGAGAGAGGGUAAGACAAAGAUUGUGUUUAAAUAACCACUUAGGCCGGUUGGCAAUAAGCAGGUUCUUUUUUUCUCUGAUGGUUUAUACCCACUGUGUUUCUGUUCGACCCAGCCUUUUCCUGAGCUGAAGCCAAGGGAUUUUUCCAUGUCCCCAAGGAGUGUGUUAGAAAAGCAGUGUUUAUGUUAGGGGACCUCAUUAACAUUACGAGUAAGUUGUAGUACCCAGAGACUAUCACAGGCUCAGCAGAAUGGAGCAAACGAGUCCUUGUUCCUUUGCGUCAUUGGCCCAAGCAGCCACCAGGCUGAAACCCAACCCUGGCUGCUUGCCUUCAGGGGAAAAAAUAAGAAGGGUAAAGUAAACAAGGCCCCUGUUCAGCUUUCCUGGACCUCGAUGGGAAUUGCUUGCAAUUAUACAUCAAAACUAUGAGCUGGCUCUGAACAGGCACAGCUCUGCUCCGCUGAGGCUGCAACCUUGUGCAGAAACCUCCUGCCUGCAGCCACUCCGGCUGGCCUCUACGUCCUGGACCACAGAGCCAGGAAACUAUUAAGUAUGUGCUUAAACCUGCUGCUCCUCAGGACAGCGCUGAUUUGACACCCGCAUAGCUUAAAAGCAGGCGUGAGGUUACAGGCUUUCCUGAACAUGGUGGCUUUGCCCAGGCUAGGUCUCAGCCGCUCAUUAUUUUAUCCUGAUGACAGCUGAGGUUUGGGGAUUUUUUGCCUGCAGAGUUCCCUCCUGCUCUGCAUUCCCAUUCCCCUAUCCCCUCACCAUCAGGGCACACGCAGCUGUGCUGUACCCAGGACACCUCCUGCCUCUGCAGUCUCUCCCCGUCAGCAUUCCAACACCCCCACACCCACGAUGGAGAAGGCUCAGGCUGCUGGGACAGAGAGAGAGCAAAAGAGCCAUGGAUGCAGGUGCCCCAAGGUUGUCUGAGUUGCUCCAUUCCCUUCUGCCCACUGCAGAGCCUCUGGGCUUUUCUCCUUUCCCCCACCAGCACAGGUCCUACAUGUAUUCAACAGGGAGCCCAGCACCUUUGCUCUUCUACAGAAGACAUAAUUUUGUACGUUUAUAACUAAUUUCUUCAAACAUAUGCUUUCAC
ensembl:lncRNA